AGGGGCGUCGGACUGGGGGUAAAACCGAUACUGAUUACCAGGGCCCAAGGAGAGAGAGGGCUCUUGAAAAGUCUGGAAUAUAUUUUAUUUCACCUGAAUAUUUUCAUUUCCUAAUUACAUUUCAUAAUGCAUGUCAGAUGAAAUGUAAAGUGUAUUGGCUGAAUAACUUGGUUGAUUGACUGACUACAUUUUGUAUACAAAAAAGACUAUCUAAGGUCUCACCCACCCCUUGCUAAUGCGCCAAAUGGUUUAGUCCACCUGCACGCAUUUUGUUUACAUUAGAUCAGCUGAGCA